rnacentral:rRNA from 1 species
AGGCGAUGAUGCAUAGCCGAGUUGAGAGACUGAUCGGCCACAAUGGGACUGAGACACGGCCCAUACUCCUACGGGAGGCAGCAGUAGGGAAUCUUCCACAAUGGGCGCAAGCCUGAUGGAGCAACACCGCGUGAGUGAAGAAGGGUUUCGGCUCGUAAAGCUCUGUUGUUAAAGAAGAACACGUAUGAGAGUAACUGUUCAUACGUUGACGGUAUUUAACCAGAAAGUCACGGCUAAAUACGUGCCAGCAGCCGCGGUAAUACGUAGGUGGCAAGCGUUAUCCGGAUUUAUUGGGCGUAAAGAGAGUGCAGGCGGUUUUCUAAGUCUGAUGUGAAAGCCUUCGGCUUAACCGGAGAAGUGCAUCGGAAACUGGAUAACUUGAGUGCAGAAGAGGGUAGUGGAACUCCAUGUGUAGCGGUGGAAUGCGUAGAUAUAUGGAAGAACACCAGUGGCGAAGGCGGCUACCUGGUCUGCAACUGACGCUGAGACUCGAAAGCAUGGGUAGCGAACAGGAUUAGAUACCCUGGUAGUCCAUGCCGUAAACGAUGAGUGCUAGGUGUUGGAGGGUUUCCGCCCUUCAGUGCCGGAGCUAACGCAUUAAGCACUCCGCCUGGGGAGUACGACCGCAAGGUUGAAACUCAAAGGAAUUGACGGGGGCCCGCACAAGCGGUGGAGCAUGUGGUUUAAUUCGAAGCUACGCGAAGAACCUUACCAGGUCUUGACAUCUUGCGCCAACCCUAGAGAUAGGGCGUUUCCUUCGGGAACGCAA